rnacentral:lncRNA from 1 species
CAAGCUUUACAGUAUGUUUGGUUGGCCAAUACACUCCUAAUCGGUGGGCCCCACUUAAUCCCCCUUUAAUCCAUUGUUUGGUUCAGGGUAUUGCUAUUACGAGUCUAAUACAUUACUGACCUAAUCCCCAAAAUCCACUGAUUUCUAAUCCCUCCCUUUUGCUCAAUUUAGGUGCUGCUUCAAUUUACCCUCCCUGUUUUACCCUCCCGAUCGGCUUCCCCUUUCCGUCUUCUAUUCCUUCCUUCUAGCCUCAACCUUUUCUGCCGAUUUGCUCCCUCUGUCUCUCAACCUUUUCUUUUCUUUUUCUUUACAACAUAAUUUACGCUUGGCCUUCUCAACCUUUUCUUUUCUUUUUCUCUCUGUCACUCUUUCGCUUGCUCUCAGUUGGUGGGUUUCCAAGUUACUGCAACUGAAAGGUAAACCAGUUUCUAACUCUCUUUUGCUCUCAAACUACUUUAAUGUUUGCAGCUCUAAAUUUAUUGCUGUUUUUUUCCCUGUUGGUCCAUUAGGUUCAAGAAAUUGAGCUUUUUUCUGCUUCACAUUUUAUUUUGAGUGGUUAUUUUCCUUCUUUACCAUGUCAAAUUUUAAGUUUGAUUGGUUUACUUUGAUGGGUUUGUGUUAUUGGAUUAAUUUCUACGGAUUCCUGUAUUUUAAUUAGCUUAAGUUUCAAGUAGAGUUCUAUUUCUUAAUGAAUGGAAUGACCUACAGCUGUUAAAUUAUUAUUCAAUCCGUCGUGAUAUGCUCGGUUGUGUUGUUAUUCAAUAUCCAGAUUUUAUGAUCCUUUGCCAAACAUUUUUUUGCUUUUUGGUAGGUUCAAUGCAUGAGGAUAUUGGGAGACUACCAUCAUUCAUCUCGUAUUGCUUUUGUUGAGUUUACAAUGGUAUUUACUCGCUGUGUUUAUUUAAUGAGACUGUUGCAAGAUCUAUUUCUGUGGUGUAAGAUGAGGUUACUUGUUUCUCAAAUUGCAUAAAAAUUCUGUACGAUUUAGCAUAACCCCAAAGCUUAUUUAUUCUCUGAUGAAAAAUAGCAUGGCUUAUUCCUUUUCUACAUUAUCUAGCUACUUCUUAGAUGAAUAAUUUACCAAGCCUUACCUGUUUCUUUAACCUUUUCAUUGAUGGAUUAUUGACCUCAAGUUCUCAUUGGAUGAACUAAGUGGCAAGAGUGGGAGAGCUCUCUUGGCUUCUCCUCUUUUAGUUUUGUCUUUCAUGUAUCCUUUCUUGGGAUGUGAACUAUAUUGGAUAAACAUUGUCAAAUUUAACUAUGGAAGUUGAUUUAGGAGAACCAAAUUGUGGAAAUGACUAGUUCUGUAACAGUAGUCCCAAUCCUCUCGUUGCUCCCUUCUCUUUUUACUGAAUCUCUUGGACUGAUGGAUUGGGAAUAUAUUGUUUUUUUGCGAGGCUAUGAUCAUUCAUAGCGCCUUUGCAGCCAUAGUUGUAAGGCUAUAAGAGCAGUUAAUGAUUGUGGCUCAUGAUCCAUGAGUUAUUCGUAUUAAGGAGUGUGAAAUAACGAGCUUGUACUCAAGUUUUGUGGAAGCAUGAACAAAGCUCUAUGGAACCUUUAUUGACUGAGUGAAAGGAUGGUUAAUGUGUUGCAACUAGUGUUUUCUGCAAUUCGCAGGUUUAUAAAUAUCUACCUUUCUUUUGUCUAUCCUGAUUGCUACCUAGGACUGGGGAAGAGUCAUGUGGACUUGGAACUCACUUAAAUCUCAAUUUUUAUAUGCGGUGUUGUUGGAAGGUAAUUUGUAAUGACAAACCUAGUCAGAGGAUGCAAUCAGGAUGUUGUGCUUCUUUUGUCUUGUGAUGUACUCUCAAUAUCUUAUGCUGGCAGCUAGACUGGCUGAUUGUCUAUUUGGUUGAAAGAGUGUCAACUUUGUACUUGUCUAGUUUAUAUUCAGUACUACAGCCAUUUAUUGUAUCAUACACUUGGUUGGUUUGCAUUUUCUUUAACUAAGGAACUUAUUGAUUGUUAUGUUUCCACAAGACGAACAAUUUUCUAUGUUGUUGCCAAUUUUGACGAUG